rnacentral:tRNA from 1 species
GCGGGAGUGGUGAAAGCGGCAGACACGCAGGAUUUAGGUUCCUGUGCCUUCGGGCGUGUGGGUUCAAGUCCCACCUUCCGCA